GAUCCAUGGCUCAGGAUGAACGCUAGCUACAGGCUUAACACAUGCAAGUCGAGGGGCAGCAUGGUCUUAGCUUACUAAGGCCGAUGGCGACCGGCGCACGGGUGAGUAACACGUAUCCAACCUGCCGUCUACUCUUGGACAGCCUUCUGAAAGGAAGAUUAAUACAAGAUGGCAUCAUGAGUCCGCAUGUUCACAUGAUUAAAGGUAUUCCGGUAGACGAUGGGG
rnacentral:rRNA from 1 species